ACACACACACACACACACACAUAUAUUUGCUACUGAGUAUGAACUAUUGGGCAUCAUCCUAAAUGUUGUUCAGAGGUUGGUGAGGAAAGAAAGAAACUUUUGAUCUCUGAUAAAGCUCUUUCUUUUGAUCUCUGAUAAAGCUUUCACACACACACACACAUGAGGUUUACUAAUCUUUAAUAAUCAAGUAUCAAUAUCCAGCUCAUAACUGCCUUCCAUUAAUUUUUUUUCUUUUAUUUCACACAUAUAUGAGGUUUACUAAUCUUUAAUAAUCAAGUAUCAAUAUCCAGCUCAUAACUGCCUUCCAUAAUUUUUUUUCUUUUAUUUCA
rnacentral:lncRNA from 1 species